CCUUCCUUUUCGCUGUUUAUAACUCCAAUAAUGAAUGUAGAUUAAUUGAGAUUUAACAGAUUGAUCAUUGUCUCAAAAACUAUCAUCCUAGGUCUACCCAAAAAAUGAAAUAAAAUAAAAUAAAAAAAUUAAUACGAUAAAUCAACUUUAACCACUCUCUCUUUCAAUAGCUGUAUCUUGACCAUGUCCAAAACCACUCAAAAAUCAAGAACCCACUUUUUAGUUUUUACUUCAACAACACAAAAUCAAAUCAAAUCAAAAUAAUCACUCCAAUUCUACCAUCUUUCUCCAAACAUUGAACAACAAGAAAAAAAAAAAACUAUGGCCUACAUUCUACCAUCUUUCUCCAAUUCUACUCCAAUUUAAAGAAAAAUCCCCAGUUAUUGUUUUUCACCAACAACCUUCUUAAUCGCAACUAGCUUCUCUUUCAAUAGCUGGUCAUUAUCUUCCUCUAAACCCUUCUUCCUCAACUCCAAUUCCAAUAUUCUUGCCUAAAAUCUUCAAAAACAUAAAACAAAUGAAUUUAGAGUAUAAAUAUUUUCCCAAAAAGGGACAAGACAACAGUAUAAAUAUUACCUUGAGUUUUUUGGAUACCUUCAAGAGAAUCAAGAUGCACCAGUUGUGGGUGGGAAAUUGGAAAUUUAUAGAUUUUUUUGGUGACGAAAGAAAAAGACAGAUCGUUCAUUUCCUCUCUUUUUAAACGUGUAUUAUUUUUCUUAAGGAUAUAAGGGUUCUGGAUUGGGCUCAUUUUUCCUCUGAG
rnacentral:lncRNA from 1 species